AGCUGUAUUAUUUUAGGCAUAAUUAUGACCUUAUCAUCUGUAUUUGGAGAUAUAUAUGGAUUCAAGUUGACAAGGGGUAGACUUGUGAUGGUUAAUACUGAAUGUCAACUUGAUUGGAUUAAAGGAUAUGAAGUAUUGUUCCUGGGUGUAUCUGUGAGGGUGUUGCCAAAGGAGAUUAACAUUUGAGUGAGUGGACUGGAAGAGGCAGACCCACCCUCAAUCUGGGUGGGCACUAUUCAAUCAGCUGCCAGUGCAGCUAGAAUACAGCAGGCGGAAGAAGCUGAAAGGACUUGACUUGCUGAAUCUUCCGGCCUUCAUCUUUCUCCUGUGCUGGAUGCUCCCUGCCUUCAAACAUCAGAAUCCAAGCCUCUCUUUGUAAUGAGUAAGUGUCUGUAGACAGAUACUUUGACCCUUGGCAAAUACUAUGUUUCUCUUAAAACUUUUGACU
rnacentral:lncRNA from 1 species